GAUGAACGCUGGCGGCGUGCCUAAUACAUGCAAGUCGAGCGAACAGAUGAGGAGCUUGCUCCUCUGACGUUAGCGGCGGACGGGUGAGUAACACGUGGAUAACCUACCUAUAAGACUGGGAUAACUUCGGGAAACCGGAGCUAAUACCGGAUAAUAUAUUGAACCGCAUGGUUCAAUAGUGAAAGACGGUUUUGCUGUCACUUAUAGAUGGAUCCGCGCCGCAUUAGCUAGUUGGUAAGGUAACGGCUUACCAAGGCAACGAUGCGUAGCCGACCUGAGAGGGUGAUCGGCCACACUGGAACUGAGCCACGGUCCAGACUCCUACGGGAGGCAGCAGUAGGGAAUCUUCCGCAAUGGGCGAAAGCCUGACGGAGCAACGCCGCGUGGGUGAUGAAGGUCUUCGGAUCGUAAAACUCUGUUAUUAGGGAAGAACAAAUGUGUAAGUAACUAUGCACGUCUUGACGGUACCUAAUCAGAAAGCAACGGCUAACUACGUG
rnacentral:rRNA from 1 species